CUACACUCUACUGAGGAACCCGCCAGUGGUAAGUGUACCCGGAUCUGAUAUCCUAUCACCAAAAAGAGGAUGCAGAUUUUGGUACACUUCACCACUGGCUGGGUCCCUGAAUAGGAGCACU
rnacentral:precursor_RNA from 15 species